AAGUAUCCUUUUAGGUGUCAUUUCUAUAGUUUGCUAGAGAGAUGGUUUUGAAAGUGCUUGGUCUUGCCUGCCACAGGGAAGAGGUUGAAUCCUUUUUUCUAAACAUGACGUAGGUAGUUGACUGUAUUUGUGUAGUUUUCUAUUAUUGAUGACUGCGUGUGCUAGCCUGUUCAGCAGUUAGCACCAUGAAGAAAGCAUAAUCUGAGUGAU